GAUGAACGCUGGCGGCGUGCCUAAUACAUGCAAGUCGAACGCUGAAGGAGGAGCUUGCUCUUCUGGAUGAGUUGCGAACGGGUGAGUAACGCGUAGGUAACCUGCCUGGUAGCGGGGGAUAACUAUUGGAAACGAUAGCUAAUACCGCAUGACAACAGUUAUUGCAUGAUAACUGUUUAAAAGGGGCAACUGCUCCACUACCAGAUGGACCUGCGUUGUAUUAGCUAGUUGGUGAGGUAACGGCUCACCAAGGCGACGAUACAUAGCCGACCUGAGAGGGUGAUCGGCCACACUGGGACUGAGACACGGCCCGGACUCCUACGGGAGGCAGCAGUAGGGAAUCUUCGGCAAUGGACGGAAGUCUGACCGAGCAACGCCGCGUGAGUGAAGAAGGUUUUCGGAUCGUAAAGCUCUGUUGUAAGAGAAGAACGAGUGUGAGAGUGGAAAGUUCACACUGUGACGGUAUCUUACCAGAAAGGGACGGCUAACUACGUG
rnacentral:rRNA from 1 species